UCAUCAGAUGUGAUAGCGGGUCAGUGGAGAAGUGCGGUGCGGAUGAGAGAUGCUUUGAUUCGCAUUCAUGUCAACAGUCUGAACAGCUAACCAAACCAAACCGAAGUCUCGCGCUUUCACAUGAACGGAAUAAAAUGCAGCCGGAUGAAUCGCAGUAUUUGCAACGGAACUGUAGGACUGGUGAUAUAGAUGUGCAGCCAACAGAAAAGGCUCUAGGGGUGCACUAUGAUGUGGAAGCAUCCAUUUUAGGAGAGACAUGCAAUGCCAGGCAUGAGGAGAAAAAGAGUGCCAGAAAAUCAUCCGGCUGAGGAGUCUGAAUGCCAGCACUGAUAUUUCCGCCCUGGCCAGGAAGGUGGUGGAAGAGUGUAAAGUAAUUCAUCCAUCAAAGCUGGCGGAGGUGGAACAUCUGCUGCUGUAUUUACAGAACCGAAAGAAGCCCAGCA